AUUGAACGCUGGCGGCAGGCCUAACACAUGCAAGUCGAACGAGUGGCGGACGGGUGAGUAAUGUCUGGGAAACUGCCCGUUGGAGGGGGAUAACUACUGGAAACGGUAUCUUAUACCGCCUACCCUCGGAUGUACCCAGAUGGGAUGAUCUAGUAGGGGGGGUAAAGGCUCACCUGGGCGAAGAUCCCUAGCUGGUUGGAGAGGAUGACCGGCCACACUGGAAGGGGUACCGGCUCAGGAUUCUUACGGAAGGAAGAGGUGGGAAUGAUUCCACAAGGGGCGCAAGCCUGAGGCGGACAUGCGGCGGGGAGGAAGAGGUCCUUCGGGUUGUAAAGUACGUUCAGCGGGGAGGCGUUACCCGAAGAGGAAGCACCGGCUAACUCCGUGCCAGCAGCCGCGGUAAUAC
rnacentral:rRNA from 1 species